rnacentral:lncRNA from 1 species
UGACUAGUUAGGAACCAGCUCCUGUUAAGGGAUCGAUCGGUCCUUGAGGUCUUGAAGAGGACCCACUCCAUGGGAAACCCACUGAGGCCUCCGUACUCCAGGUAUUUAGAAGGACGUGAGGCUGUGAUUCUCCUCAGACAGACGGAACAUGUCCCAGAAAUUUGCUAACACGGGCAGCUUUAUCGAGAGAGAAGACCUUGGCAAACCUAACAAGGGUGUCGACAGAGUACAGAAAGGUGACUUUUGAUUACAGCAUGUCCCCGCGCCAGUGCCUGAGAGCGCAGGCACAGCGGUUUCACCGCUGCAUACCCAACUCAAUCCUCCAUUCCUUAUAGACACAGGAGGUCAGUAAUCCCAGAAUCAGAAAAAAGGGGAUUUAACAGCCAAGCCAGGAGAUUUUAUAGCAAAAAGUGCGCCCGCCUGGGCCCCAUCAUUUCUAAAUAUCCUGCUGCAAACGCGUACACCAUCCGGUCAGAGUUGGCUUCCAAGAAGGACUUCAGCAAUUCCUGUUCCAGCAUGUUCCAGCUGCCAACCUUCAUUAAAGUGGUCAAAUCUGAGACCCCCGCCCCAAACCAUUACAAU